CUGGGCCGGGCCUGGGCGGGCGGAGCGGUGGGCGCUGCCCCGGCGAGGGCCCGACUUGUGGUGCGGGCAGGAGCGGCCCGAGCGCGGCCCCGCUCUGCUCGUGUCCGCCUCCCGCCGGGCGCGGCAGGGCCCGAUGGCGGCCGGGCUGGGGCCGCGGCUGCUGGCCUUGGCCUUGGCCUUGGGGCCGGCCGGCAUUUGGGCUGAAUUGAGUCUGGUGGAGUCUGGUGGAGGUCUGCGAGCACCUGGAGAGUCCGUGCAUCUUUCCUGCCAGGGAUCCGGACUCAGCUUCGAAGAUUAUUAUGUCCGGUGGUACCGUCAGGCACCCGGUGGAAGUCUUGAGUGGGUGUCCUUCAUUGACAGAUAUGGUAGCACAAUAGAAUAUAGCAAAGCGGUGGAGGGCAGAGCUACAGCCUCCCGUGACAAUUCCCAGUCCAGGGCUUCUCUGUCCCUGCAUGCCCUGGUACCCCAGGACUCUGCCCACUACUUCUGUGCAGUUCGCACAGGGACAGGAAAUCCAACUGAGCUUUAACAGAAACCUGCUUCUAGGGCCCCUCGCCUUCUCUAAUUGUGCCCCUGCCAUUUAGAACAGGGAGGAG